GUCAGUGUGGCCGAGUGGUUAAGGCGACAGACUUGAAUGUCCUAGACAUCCAGCUAUCUGUUGGGUUCGCCCGCACAGGUUCAAACCCUGUCGCUGACG